UACAUAUAUAUCGUAAUAACUCAUAAUGAGAUGUACAAAGAUGUAUGUGUCUAAAUACAAACAAUUGCAGGUAUAUUACAUCACUUCACUAUAACCCCCCCCCCCCUGCGGCUAAACGCACCCGACUCCCCCCGUUUACCAUCGCGUUUCGAAACACCCAGGUCUGUACCUACUUGAAAAUACCCAUCCCGAUUUCUCCGGUUUCAGGUGGUACUAAAGUCCACCACAGCCCGGUCUA